AGAUUGAACGCUGGCGGCAGGCCUAACACAUGCAAGUCGAGCGGUAGAGAGGUGCUUGCAUCUCUUGAGAGCGGCGGACGGGUGAGUAAUGCCUAGGAAUCUGCCUAGUGGUGGGGGAUAACGUUCGGAAACGGACGCUAAUACCGCAUACGUCCUACGGGAGAAAGCGGGGGACCUUCGGGCCUCGCGCCAUUAGAUGAGCCUAGGUCGAUUAGCUAGUUGGUGAGGUAAUGGCUCACCAAAGGCGACGAUCCGUAACUGGUCUGAGAGGAUGAUCAGUCACACUGAACUGAGACACGGUCAGACUCCUACGGAGGCAGCAGUGGGGAAUAUUGGACAAUGGGCGAAAGCCUGAUCAGCCAUGCCGCGUGUGUGAAGAAGGUCUUCGGAUUGUAAAAGCACUUUAAAGUGGAGGAAGGGUUGUAAACCGUAAUAACGUUGACAACUUUGAACGUUACCGAACAGAAAUAAAGACACCGGACUAACUUCGUGCCAGCAGCCGUA
rnacentral:rRNA from 1 species